AAGCACUCUAUCAAUAAGCUAUAUCCCCAGCCCCAAAAGAAAAGGUAUGUUGAGACUCAUUAACUGUAGGUUUAGUGGAAUGUACUCAUGUGGCCUGCAGUAACCUCCAGGCACAGUUAAGUUACUGCUUGCCAACCUGCGCUGAAAUGCUUUUCAGAAAUAUCUUUAACUGCCCACUGUACUACCUCACCUGGGAUGGCCACACAAAGGUAGGGGUCACAAACUGCUUGUCAUGCAAUUAAUAAUUUUUUAAGUACCAUUCUAUUUUUCUGGGUUUAGGGUAUUUAUGGUAUAUUUUCUAAAAAAAAUUUUUUAAAUAUGUAAUUUAAUUUGAUUUGCCUAUGUUUUUUACAAAAAUUAAAAGAAACAUGCAGAAAACCAGGCAAACUUCUACCUUUAAUUUAAAAAGAAAAAGAGAAGAAAGAAAACUACUGUCAGAAGUGCCCUUCCUAUUUGCUUAGAGCUCAGAGGUCCAGUUCACAGGUAGCCAGAUAAUCCCUUGUUUGUCUUCCUAAAGGGAAAUUUUUCAUUUUUUCCCCAGUACUAAGAAUUGAACCCAGGGAUACUCCAAUACUGGGGUUAUAUCCCCAGCCCUUUUUAUUUCUUAUUUUGAGGCAGGCUCACUAAAUUGCCCUGGCUGGCCUUGAACUUGCAAUCCUCUGGCCUUGGCCUCCUAAAUUGCUGAAAUUACAGACAUGAGCCACUGCACCUGGCAAAAGUAGGAAAGACAAAUGCACUAUAUGGUAAUGGUCUCUACAAAGUCAUCAAAGUCAGAAUUUCCUAUACCUAAGUAUUGGCGUCAUCUCUCCUCAAUUACAUCACAAAUUAACAGAUUUAUCUCGACUCACUAUGGACAGUCUUAUAAUACAAUCUUUCACACUAGCGCAAGUGUUUUCAGGGAACAGGUUUCUACAAGAAUUGAUGUAUUAAAGGCUAUGCACACUCAGGUUGUUCUCCAUUGUUACUAUGCGCCUAUACAUUGGGAAAUUAUGAAGCCAAAAAAUAUAAUGAUGACAAGACAUAUGGCAUGAUUUUCUUGCUUCAGAGUCCUUUCCAUUUUUUCUUUUUUAAAUUUUUUUGAUAAGCAGGUACUGCCUUUAUAAUUUUUAAAUAUUUUAAUUUUUAAAUACUAACACAAAUAUGCCAAUCCUUGAAGAAGAAACUCUGUCUUUUGCUAUUAAUAAAAGUUCUAACCAGCUGGGCAUGGUGUUGCAUGCUAUAAUUCCAGAUACUUAGAGGCUAAGGCAGGAGGAUCAUAAGUUUGAGGCAGCACAGGCAACUUAACAAGACCCUGUCUCAGAACAAAAAUUAAAAAGGGCUAGGGAUGUAACUCAGUGGUAGAGUGCAUGCCCAGUGUGCACCAGGUCCUGAGUUCCAUCCCCAACAAUGGGGGGAGAAAAAAAAAGUUUUAACUAACAUAAAGGUACUAUUUUCACCUCUCCAGGACUCAUUUCUGAAAUAGACACCAUCAUUAUGACUUUAGAAUUACUAUUUUUCUUGGCCUGCGCUGACAAUGAAUGUCUCUGUCCCUGACAUCACAUUAAUUCAGUGAUUUCUGCCUUGCUUCUGCCCUUGCAUAUUUCUAGCCCUUCCUAGAACAAGCCUAAGGUCAGGCUCAUAAAGAUCUACUUCCUGGCUGCCCAGGACAUCAGAGGAUUCUAAUGGCUCCUAUAUUUGCUCCCUAUUUACUGCUAUGAGGCAACAGUGUUCUUUAGAUAGUUGGUGCAAAAAACCAUAAGGCCCAAUUUGUAAAAGUACUAUGGGUGCUGGACUGGGGCUUUGAGGAUGAGUAGAAAGGACUUUUG
rnacentral:lncRNA from 1 species